CUAUGGAGCCAUCCUUGAAAUACCACCCUGGUUCAUUUGAGGUUCUAACCUUGGUCCGUUAUCCGGAUCGGGGACAGUGCAUGGUAGGCAGUUUGACUGGGGCGGUCUCCUCCUAAAGUGUAACGGAGGAGUUCGAAGGUACGCUAGGUACGGUCGGACAUCGUGCUAAUAGUGCAAUGGCAUAAGCGUGCUUAACUGCGAGACCGACAAGUCGAGCAGGUACGAAAGUAGGACAUAGUGAUCCGGUGGUUCUGUAUGGAAGGGCCAUCGCUCAACGGAUAAAAGGUACUCUGGGGAUAACAGGCUGAUUCCUCCCAAGAGUUCAUAUCGACGGGGGAGUUUGGCACCUCGAUGUCGGCUCAUCACAUCCUGGGGCUGUAGCCGGUCCCAAGGGUAUGGCUGUUCGCCAUUUAAAGUGGUACGUGAGCUGGGUUUAAAACGUCGUGAGACAGUUUGGUCCCUAUCUGCCGUGGGCGUUGGAAAUUUGAAGGGGGCUGCUCCUAGUACGAGAGGACCGGAGUGGACAGACCUCUGGUGUACCGGUUGUCACGCCAGUGGCAUUGCCGGGUAGCUAAGUCUGGAAGAGAUAACCGCUGAAAGCAUCUAAGCGGGAAACUUGCCUUAAGAUGAGAUUUCCCAGAGCCUUGAGCUCUUUGAAGGGUCGUUCGAGACCAGGACGUUGAUAGGUCAGGUGUGGAAGUGCAGUAAUGCAUUAAGCUAACUGAUACUAAUUGCCCGUACGGCUUGUCCCUAUAACCUU
rnacentral:rRNA from 1 species